rnacentral:tRNA from 1 species
CAAGGAAUAGUUAAACUUAGAAUGCUAGUUUUGGGGACUAGCGGUGAGAGUUAGAAUCUCUCUUUCUUGA